UCGAGGGGUUUAGACCCCGGCGAACGGGUGAGUAAUACCUAGGAAUUUUACUUAAGUUUGGGAUAUCCUCCCGAAAGGGAGAGCAAUACCAGAUGUUAUCGCAAGAUAAAAGGAGCAAUCCGCUUAAGUUGAAGCCUGGGCCCCAUCAGCUAGUUGGUAAGGUAAUGGCUUACCAAGGCUAUGACGGGUAGCGGAAGCGAGAGCUUGAUCCGCCACACUGGGACUGCGACACGGCCCAG
rnacentral:rRNA from 1 species